rnacentral:rRNA from 1 species
AGUGAACGCUGGCGGCGUGCUUAACACAUGCAAGUCGAACGAGAACGGAUUAUAGCUUGCUAUAAUUGUCAGCUAAGUGGCGCACGGGUGAGUAAUGUAUAGGUAAUAUGCCUCUUACUAAGGGAUAACAAAUGGAAACGUUUGCUAAUACCUUAUACUCCUUAUUAACAGAAGUUAAUAAGGGAAAGAUUUAUUGGUAAGAGAUUAGCCUGUAUUGUAUCAGUUAGUUGGUGGGGUAAUGGCUUACCAAGACUAUGACACAUAACUGGUUUGAGAGGAUGAUCAGUCACACUGGAACUGAGACACGGUCCAGACUCCUACGGGAGGCAGCAGUGGGGAAUAUUGCACAAUGGACGAAAGUCUGAUGCAGCAACGCCGCGUGGAGGAUGACACAUUUCGGUGCGUAAACUCCUUUUAUAUGAGAAGAUAAUGACGGUAUUAUAUGAAUAAGCACCGGCUAACUCCGUGCCAGCAGCCGCUGUAA